CAUAAGUAUCUUCAAAAGUACAUGCUAUUUUGGAUCAGGGUUGGAGGAUUCAAAAGAUUCUUCAAGAGCAGCCCCUGGCCUAGAAAUAGGAAAGGAAGUUGAAUAAAUUGUCGUGAUGGACCAGACAUGAGCAGAUAUUACUGGAUCUUGGACAAGUGGGUCUCUAAGGAACAUCAAAGACCCUGAGAAGCCAAAAGUUAUGAAAUGCAUCAGCAGUGGGUUGAAGACAAGACCUCUCCUUUUCCUGCUGACAUUUCUUCCAUGAGCAGUACCCAGACAGCCGACAGAAAGAGCCCAGGAGCUGGGGAAGUUGGGCAGAGUGCCCCCGAAGGAGGAGAUUCCACACAGGCCCUGUGUAUCUGAGAGUUGAGUUGCUGAUUUCAGAGGUGUUUGUAUCAUUGCUCUAAAUGUGUUUCUGCUCCCCUCCCACCCAAGAUGCUGGUUCAACGGACCAUUUCAUCCUACCAUUAUACAGAACCCACAGGAGCUAGUUACCUGGUCAGUUUGAGAAGUUAAUAUUUAAAAAGACUAAUGGUUGCAUAUGGCUUCCACAGGAAAGAAAUAAUAAGCUAAUGUUAUCUAUUGACUCAAUCCCACAUAUAUUUACAUUUGACAACUUAAAAAAAAAACCUUCGGCUCAAUGAUAGUUUAGCUCAAGUCACUAUGUUAGGAUAUAUAUUUCUUUCAUCUAUGACUAUUUUUGUCUGCACAGUAACCUGCCUCAAGCACACAAAUAUUUGUGUGUCUGGCCUCAAGCAAUUAACGUGUCUCCUAACAUGAGAUAAAGAUUAAAUGAAAAUUCUGUCACCCUGAAAUAAACCUGGAAGCAGAAUUCCUGAAUGUUUGCCAAAUAAGGUGACUAUCAGACUUAAGAUGCUGAACUUUGAAAUGACUGUCAUAGAAACAAAGGCAAGGCAUGGUUGGCGCCCAUUCAACCUGGUCAAUAACAUCCUUAAUUACAGGACAUGGCAUCAUUUUGAUUCACAGUGGAAUAAAAGGCAUCUAUUUGUA
rnacentral:lncRNA from 1 species